rnacentral:snRNA from 1 species
GGAUGUGAGGGUGGUCUGGCUACGACAUGUCACCCAAUUGAUCGCCAGCGUUGAUCUGGCUGGCUAGGCGGGUGUCCCUUUCCUCCCUCACCGCUGCAUGUGAGUCCCUCUGGAAGCUGCGCGCUCGGUGGAAGAGGACGACCUUCCCCGAUAGAGGAGGAGGAGCGUUCUUCGGUCAAGGGUAUACGAGUAGCUGUGCUCCCCUGCUAGAACCUCCAAACAAGCUCUUAUUACCCUCAUAAAAAUCCCCUCCAAAGACCCUACUCUUUGCACAGAAUAGAGCUAAAACUCCUUAAUAGGAUAUUCAAGGCAACUGCAUUAUCUCUUACACAUUC